UUAGCACAAAGUGAGGACUGCAACACUUGGGUUUGUUCACCAAGUCCAGAGCAAGGCGCCAGAAAUUCUUGGCUUCCUCUAAACAGCUGCACAGAAGCAGCGGCCAAACCCAUCUUGUGUUUGAUGAGUCAUCCCGCGUCAGCCCUGUGCUGCUCAGGCCUCUACGGGUGCUUCCUCAGCAGCUGCAUCUGGCUCAGGCUUUUUCCAGAAGACAAGGUAGCCAAGUACUCAAGCUCAGGCGUUGAUGGGCACUCUCUGACUCCAGGGAGAAACACAGGCUUUUAAGAAGUCAGCACCAUUGGUGGGUUAUGUCAGGCGCUCAGCUUCACUGUCCUCCGAUUGUGCAGAAACGCUCUGGUGGAAAAGUUUCGAGAGUGG
rnacentral:lncRNA from 1 species